CCUACGGGAGACAGCAGUGAGGAAUAUUGGUCAAUGGACGAGAGUCUGAACCAGCCAAGUAGCGUGAAGGAUGACUGCCCUAUGGGUUGUAAACUUCUUUUAUAUGGGAAUAAAAUGUUCCACGUGUGGGAUUUUGUAUGUACCAUAUGAAUAAGGAUCGGCUAACUCCGUGCCAGCAGCCGCGGUAAUACGGAGGAACCGAGCGUUAUCCGGAUGUAUUGGGUUUAAAGGGAGCGUAGGUGGAUUGUUAAGUCAGUUGUGAAAGUUUGCGGCUCAACCGUAAAAUUGCAGUUGAAACUGGCAGUCUUGAGUACAGUAGAGGUGGGCGGAAUUCGUGGUGUAGCGGUGAAAUGCUUAGAUAUCACGAAGAACGCCGAUUGCGAAGGCAGCUCACUGGACUGCAACUGACACUGAGGCUCGAAAGUGUGGGUAUCAAACAGGAUUAGAUACCCGGGUAGUC
rnacentral:rRNA from 1 species